GGCUCAUGGCACAGAACGGCACACAAAGUAAGCCCAUGGCACACAGCUGGUGGCACAGCACUGUAUUCAUGGUAAGGCCAUGGCACACGGCUCGUGGUGGCACCAAUGGCACCAAUGGCACCAAUGGCACCAAUGGCAUCCAUGGCAUUUGGGGCUCACGGUGUCACCAAUGGCACCAAUGGCACCAAUGUCAUUUGGGGCUCACGGUGUCACCAACGCCACCAAUGUCACCAGUGCCACAUGGGGCUCGUGGUGUCACCAAUGUCACCAAUGCCACCAACAUCAUCAGCAGUGCCAUCUGGGGGCUCACGGUGUCACCAAUGGCACCAGUGGCACCAAUGGCACCAAAGGCACCAAUGUCAUUUGGGGCUCACGGUGUCACCAACGCCACCCAUGUCACCGGUGCCACCGGUGCCACGUGAGUCGCAGUGUCACCAGUACCAGCAGUGCCACCAGAUCCACACAUCACCCGCAGUGCCACCAAUGUCACCGGCGCCACGUGCGACUCAUGGCGCCACCAGCGCCACCAGCGUCACCAGUGUCACCAGCGCCACGGGUGAAGCCCGGUGUCACCAAAGCCAGGAAUGCCCCACGGUGUCACCAACAGGGGUCCCCAAAAGUGGGUGGGGGUCCCCAGUGGGGUCCACAAAAGUGGGUAGGGGUCCCCCAAUAGGAUCCCCAAAAGUAGGUGGGGGUCUCCAAAAGUGGGUGGGGGUCCCCCAAACGGGGUCAGAGCCUGCCAAAAUUGGGUGGGGGGUCUCCCAAUUGAGGAGGGGUCCCCCAGCGGGGUUUGGGGCCCCUAAAUGAGGCCGGGGGUCCCCAAAAGGAGCGGGUCUGGGGGCUCCCCACCGCGUCCCAUGCGGACCCUCGGAUCGGACCCCUCCCCAAAUUGCGCCCAGGGACCCCCGUGUCGCCCNNNNNNNNNCCCGCCCCUCCCCCACUCACCGAGGAAGCCUUGCAGGCAGACCGCGCGCCCGCGGGGGGCGGUGGUGCCGUAGAACAGCAGCUGUUCCCCCGAAGCGCCUUCCCCCCUCCGCUCCAUCUCGGCUCGGCGCCGCCGGAAGUGGCCGUAAAGCCGCGGGUGGAUCAACUGCUCCGCCUGCGGGGAGCGGCGUCAGGAGACCCCACACCCAAUUCGGGACCCCACACCCAAAUCGGGACCCCAGACCCAAAUGGGGACCCCCGGCCCUGCUUACAGAACUCGGGAGCUCAGCCCCAACUGGGGACGCCUGCUCCCAUUGGUGACCCCAGACCCAAUUUGAGACCCCAGACCCAAUUCGGGAGCACCACCCCCACUGCGGACCCCAGACCCAAAUGGGGACCCCCGACCCUGUAUAGAGAACUCGGGAGCUCAGCCCCAAUUAGGGACGCCCGCUCCCAUAGGUGACCCCAGACCCAAUUUGGGACCCCAGAUCCAAUUCGGGACUACUGCCCCCACUGCAGACCCCAGACCCAAAUGGGGACCCCCGACCCUACAGAGAGAACUCGGGAGCUCAGCCCCAAUUAGGGAUGCCCACUCCUAUAGAUGACCUCAGACCCAGCUGGGGACCCCAGACCCAAUUCGGGACCCCAGACCCAAUUCAGGAGCAUCGCCCCCAUCAGUGACCCCAGACCCAAAUGGAGACCUUCGACCCUACAGAGAGAACUCGGGAGCUCAGCCCCAAUUAGGGAUGCCCGCUCCUAUCGGUGACCUCAGACCCAGCUGGGAACCCCAGACCCAAUUUGGGACCCCAGACCCAACUGGGGACCCCAGACCCAAUUCGGGACCCUCGCCCCCAUCAGUCACCCCAGACCCUGAUCUCAUUUG
ensembl:lncRNA